GCCACCUGCAGACAGGCCCGGGCUUCUAGCUGUCCGUCUUUCCUCCCUUCCGCCUUGGAGCACCAAGAAGAUCAACACGUGGGACCUCCGAGACUUGGAGAGAAGUGAAAGAACCGGACAAGCCAAGAGAAGUCAGGACUUCUAGGAAGCCGACCACGCCAAAUAGACAGAGACCACAGACUACACCAGAGGACCCGAGAUGAAGCAGCCGGUCAUCGGCUAGAGAUCGUGUAACCUUGCAUCGCUUUUUCCAACAUGGCUCUUGGUAUUCAAAGACAUUUUUGAGAUGAAAAUUUGGAUAGAGUUUCUGUGUUUCUUCAUUCAGCUUUAAUAUGCAGUACCUGUUUCAUUAUCACAUGGCAGAUUAGGGUAUUUCACCUCUACUCCUGAGCCUUCAUCCAUGUCUACAAAGACAAAGAAGUUACUGGGGAAAUUGAUGAUGGGCCUGGCUGCCAUUGAGGAUGCUCUUCAUUAAGAACUAGAUGCUGAGAUCUGCCACUCAAGACCAGAAGACAGUCAGCCACGCUGAGAAAGCACUGGCAGGAGAAUGCGGCUAUGUGCAGACCAGGACAAGGGCAAGAUUUCACCACUGACCGGACACUGACUUCUUCAAAAGAGAAGAUAAAAGAGGAAGAACUGAAACCUAAGAUUUCACCUCAAGACCACAAGACAGUUAUCCACCAGGAGUAAGCACUGGAAGUAGAAUGCUGCUGGGAGAAGAAGAAGAAACUCAAGGCUUGAUCAUUGACUGGCCAGUGACUUCUUCAGAAUAGAUGAUGCCUGAGGAAGAUCUGAAACCUAAGAUUUCACCUCAAGACCACAAGACAGUUAUCCACCAGGAGUAAGCACUGGAAGUAGAAUGCUGCUGGGAGAAGAAGAAACUCAAGGCUUGAUCAUUGACUGGACAGUGACAUCUUCAGAAUAGAUGAUGCCUGAGGAAGACUUGAAUCAUGGGACCCUACCCUUCAGAGUCUUAAUGUAGACCCUGUUGAUGAGGGCCCAGUUACUAGUGCAAGGCUGUGCUGAGGUCCAGGAAGAGGAAGUGGAGGGGCGGGGUUUUGCCUCGCUCAGCUUGCAGUAUGAAUCAACUGGCUGGUGUCCUAGGGCGGUGAGGCGCCUCACUCUCCGGGUUCUGAUGAGAAAUUUCUAAGGUGCACGUUUAUGUUGGGGCCUGAGGAGAAGUCAAGGAAGCCCACUAGGCACCCACAGUUGUGUUUAUCUGGAUUCGCCAUCUUCUGCCAUGGCUAAGAAUCAUGGGAAGGAAGCUCAGUGGCACUGUGACUUUUGAAACCCCAUCCUCUUGAUGGCAGUAGAGCUCCAGGAGAGAUCUCGUGAGCAUUUGUCUCCCGCCCUUCCUGUCUGAAAAAAACGCCACCCAGAGUGAAAUCCACCAGAGAAGAUGGCUGCCCUGAGAUUUGCCAAGUUUUGUAACUGAAACCUAAGAUUUCACCUCAAGACCACAAGACAGUUAUCCACCAGGAGUAAGCACUGGAAGUAGAAUGCUGCUGGGAGAAGAAGAAACUCAAGGCUUGAUCAUUGACUGGCCAGUGACUUCUUCAGAAUAGAUGAUGCCUGAGGAAGGUUGAACUGAAACCUAAGAUUUCACCUCAAGACCAUAAGACAGUUAUCCACCAGGAGUAGGCACUGGAAGUAGAAUUCUGCUGGGAGAAGAAGAAGAAACUCAAGGCUUGAUCAUUGACUGGCCAGUGACUUCUUCAGAAUAGAUGAUGCCUGAGGAAGAACUGAAACCUAAGAUUUCACCUCAAGACCACAAGACAGUUAUCCACCAGGAGUAAGCACUGGAAGUAGAAUUCUGCUGGGAGAAGAAGAAAGUCAAGGCUUGAUCAUUGACUGGACAGUGACUUCUUCAGAAUAGAUGAUGCCUGAGGAAGAUCUGGAUCCUGAGACUACAAGACAAUCAGAUACCAGGAGAAGGCACUAGAUGUUAUAUGUUGCUGGGUGAAGAAGGGCAGAAGUGCAGGAUGUCAUCAAUGACUAGAUGCUGACUUACUUCAUCAAAAGAGAAGAAUCUGAGGAAGGACCCAAACUUCACACUUCAUUUCAGACAAGAUCCACCCGUCUUGCAAGAUCCAAGAAUUUGAUGAGCUUGAAAUGCUCAGUGGAAGGAAAUAAACCCAUGUAGUACUAGGAGGGAGAAAUUCAACUUCUGAGAAAAGACGCAUAGUGGGCAAUGUUGGAUUGGGCCAAGGAUUGUGUUCACAUACAACUAAAAAUCCAGAGCACAAGUUCACAGUAAGAACUGAAACCUAAGAUUUCACCUCAAGACCACAAGACAGUUAUCCACCAGGAGUAAGCACUGGAAGUAGAAUGCUGCUGGGAGAAGAAGAAGAAACUCAAGGCUUGAUCAUUGACUGGCCAGUGACUUCUUCAGAAUAGAUGAUGCCUGAGGAAGAUGUCAAUACUGCAAAGAUAAUUCCAGAAGCUGACUUUCGAUGCUUCCAUUGACUCACUCCUUAAUCCCAGCACUCACAAGGCUGGAGGAGGAGGAUAGCUGUGAGGCUGAGGAUAGUUUGGCCUCCCUCCCUACACACUCAUGGUGUCUCGGUGUGUCCUAAAUUAGCUGUGAAUCUGUUAUGUUGUCCCUUCUGGUCAGCAACCUCUGAUCGUCAACCCUGAACAUUUGUACUGGCGGGAAUCACAGCUCUCAAGAGCAUAAGCCAACUGGGUAUCAUGAGAAAGUGCUGGAAGUAGAAUGCUGCUGUGUGAAGAAGGGGGCAAAUGCAACACCUGACCAUGUGGACCUUGAGUGCUAGAAAGAAGAGCUACCUGCUAAAGACCAAAUGGGCGGGAGAAGAGGAUGUAAGAUGGCGCUGCUGAGCUUAUCUAGAGCACUACUGCCCCCAAGUGGAAUUAGUUUUAGCCGAUGUGGUACCAUCACGGUUUCUUUCCCAUAAUCCCCAGCAAAGAGGACUGGCUGCAAAAUGGAAGCUCAUUAGGCACCAAGAUAUCAGAAAACGCAGAAAGCACCAAGAUAUCAGAUAUCCUAGAAGCUGGUGUAACUCCUCAAAGAACCUGAACGUCGAGAGACCCGAACUGGAUCACCAGUGGCUUGGAAUACUGAAAGUCUGGAUCCCCUAGGUUUGCCCCCAAGAACCACCACAAAGUUUAAUACCAUACAAGGCUGGUGGGUAAAGGAGCAGAAACCAGAAGACUUGGCCAUGUGGACACAGUCUUCUUCAAAAAGACAUCUAUCUGAUCAUAGAUGAUAGUGGGUACCUUAGGCGGGUCUUGCUUCUUUUUCUUUGUUUCUCCGUAGUUCUGGUGCUGGGAUAAAGUUCCAGCCUUUCCUAAUGUCUCUGCUAUGGAUAGCAAAUGGAAACCAAAAGGUAAAUUCUUAAAUAAGCUCACUCCUUUUCAGAUUGAGGAGAAAAGGUUCGCCUUUGGAAUCUUUUUUUUCAGAUUGGAAGGGCGGGGGGUAGAGUCAACUCCUUGAUGCUUAUGGACCAAUACUGCCAUCUUGCGGACAAGUUUCACAACCCCCCCACCAAUACAUAAUUUCUUCCAUGCAAGUCCCUAGGAAAGUUGUGUAUAUGGGAGGUUGAAGAGUCCCAUAUUCCACUAACCAUUACAAUAUUUUCCUCUGUGGUAGCUUGGAGCCAUGCACUAGUGUACUCUGGACGCGUAACCUAGAGACAAAGGGACUGGAACCAAGUGCAUUUGCCCUGAGCCUCUCCUGUCAAACCCUGUUUACACUAUGAAGAGCUUUCCCACACAUCUGAAUCUACAAGAAGCACAGUUCUUGUUCAACUCUCCAGACAAUUGAGCGCACGCACCUGAGACCAUCCCAGACACUCCUUCUCGUGCUGUACGACUUCCAGAACUGAUCCAUGCUUGCUGUUUCUACACCACUGCAAUAACAUAGCCCUCUGGCUUAGCACAGAGAUGUUAGUUAAAAGCCUGCUAAAUCAUGCUUCAAGGGGCUGAACCUGGAAGAACUGCCCAUGUGAGCCUGAAUUUGUCUUUCCAUGGGUUUUUGUCAUCUUCAAAUUGAGAGGAACCAAUGCCCCUUUUUGGGCUCUGCACAUUCAUUUUCCACACCAAGGUAUAACUGGCAUCCAUUUCCCUUAGGACGUUAAGGAGAAGGCAUGGGGAGCCCAAUGUUAAAUUUUUCAUGUUACUGGAGGCACACUGAUUGUGGGGACAGACUUUCAUGUGGUUGUUCACUCCAGAGUCUUCCAGGAAGGAUCUCAAUUUAGACAAGGCUAGAGAACAAAUACUUGCAUUGUUGUGAUCCUUCCUUGAUCAUGGUGUGGGCUUCCAUACCGCUAUAUAAGUUUUAAAGACACCAGAGAGUGAGCCUUCAAAACCAAGUGUUCUCUAUCAUUCUGAAGGGAAAAAUAUUUUCUGUCUCUUGUCAAUCCCCAUUCACAAAGUAUGACUCAAGAGAUGGUUAAGACUCAUCAGACAAAUCUGUACCAGUUACUAGGACAGGGGAUUUGGGUUCAAUCUGUCAUCAAUGAACCCCUUUUGUCCAUCAUACACCAUUGCAUUCUUUCUUUGAUACUUAGAAAAAGCAAGCAUUUUAUAGGGGAACAAGUAUCUUUUCUGUAUAUACUGUAUUGUUGUAUUAUCAUGCGCUGCUUAAGCUCACUGAGAAGAUGGGUCCGGAAGUGGGACUUGGCCUUUCUACUUGAGACCCAAGCAUGUUUGUCUGAAAGUAUGCUUCUAAACCUCCUAUCCUGGGUUAGUCUAGACAUGUGGUUCAGGGAAAAGGAGAACAACAAAACAGCCCAAGAGUAAAGGGACUGUGCCCUAGCAACAGCUCAGAGUCAAUUUAUUUCCAAUACAUCUCCAAUAGAAACAGAGGUUUCUUUUGUUUAUUCUCUAACAGGAAGACAUCUGUAAUGAACACAGGUAAUAGGAUACUCAUCCCAUAGAGGACUUCAUCUGGAAAUCCUCAGUCAGUAACACCAGCAUCACAGUUUUAACAGGCCUACUUCAGCUGAUUUCUUAAGGAUGUUCUAAACAUUGAUUUGAUGAUGGUUUGUUAUCUACCUGCAUGGUACCCACACUCAUAGAAAACCAAAGGCACAGGUAUGGUAAAGCAUUUUCUGGACCAUACAGAAUAUAAAGAGACCUUUGUCUUGUGUUUUCUAUGAGGCUUGCCUGGGAAUUUACAAAGCCUCAUUGUCAACAAUGUAUACAGGUAAUCUUAAUUUAUCACAUUAUUCAAUGCAUAUAGCUUGGAUUAAACCAUCAUUUAAUAAGAUGUUACUGUGAUAUAAGGAAAGAAAUAAAAGGGAACUAAUAAGUAGAAGAGAUAAUGAAAUAUUAAAAGGAUAUGGAAACUUUGUCCUUAGUUAAGAUCAGUGGAUGUUUCCAAACUGGAAAAGAUAAAAGACAGUGGAAAGCCUGAAGAAAUCACAAAAGGUCUGAGUAGGUUAUAGAAAGUAUGGUAAAGAUGAGGAAUAGUGAUGAUACAUGUAAGAUUAAAAUUUCUAAUGUCCAAUGUCCUGUUUAGAUCAAUAGCAUUCUCUUAAGUUGAAGAUAUGCAUUUGGUAACCUUCACAAGGACUAACAUAAACAAUCAAAAUAGUCUACGCAAGACUUAUUUAAAAGUGAUUGACUUUUGCCAAACUUUAUUUAAUGUUACACAAAAGUUAAAAGAUACCAGACUGGUGUAACUGACCUGGGUUUUUAAUAACCAUACUUAGAAGCCUAUACUAAUGUGAAUAGAGGGAUUAAAUGGGACUGCAUUUUGGGCCUUGCCUUCAAAGGUCCUACAACUCUGGCAAGUCACUGUCUUCCUGAUCAGAGAAGCUAUGGAGACUGCACAGGGUGGACUCUAACCAGGGGACAAUAGCAUUUGUACAUUUUAUGAACAGAAGAGUUGAUACAAAGAGAAUGCCCUCAAUGCUUCAAAAGAAUGUUGUCAGCAAUGCCUUGUGACUUACGUGCAAGAAAUAGCACAACUAAUAAAUGAAAGAAAAGGGACAAAGAAGGGCCCUCCUCCCAAGCACAAAUGACCCCUGAGGACCAGACAUUCAACUGGCUUUGACAGUAAAAAGCAAGCUAUUUGAGGCCACCUGCAUGGUCUUAAAGUAGUAGGAGAGUAUAAUCAAAGGUUAAAAAUUAUAUAUACAUAUAAUUUAAAAAUUACACACAUAAAUUUUAACUUUUGAUUAUAUAUAUAAUUAUGUAUAGGAUAUAUAUGGAUCAUAUUCACCAGACAUUACUUAGGUCUAUGUUAGGCAUUUGUUAGAAAACCAUUUCUGACUAAUGUUUUUUUCUUGAUAAGGAAAAGGCUGCAUAGACACAGGUCUUGAAACUUUAGGUCAAUUUCAACACUGCAGCACCUACAUGGGAACUUACCGUUGAGAGACAGACCCACUAUUCUAACCUAAAAAUCAUACACUCGUUAAAUAUCUUCUGCUCUAGAAGCCAGCUGAGGGGGACCUCACACUAGGAUUUAAGCCUUUCCAACAGCUAUCAAAGUACCUGAAAGCAGAUCCUGGAUUCAUCACUCAAGUCAGGCCUUGGAGAAUGGGACUGGGGGGAAAGACCUGAGGAACCCAAAGGAUGGGUGCUCUUGUGAGCCUAUGGAGGCUUUAUAAUGGAGAUUGACUUGAACAUUUUUAUUUUUAGACAGGCUUUUUUUGUUCUGGCUUCUGGUGUUCUGCCUGGGGCUUAUAAUGCUGAGCUGUUAUAAAAAUUCAUGCCUGCUUCUGGUGGGAAAGAAUCAUUCCCCUGCUCAGAGAUCUGCAAUUUCCCUUCUCUCUCCUUUUUUUAAAGUUAAAUUUAUUUUACGUUUUUAUGUGUAUGGGUGUUUUGU